rnacentral:rRNA from 1 species
UUGACCUCGGAUCAGGUAAGAAUACCCCGCUGACUAA